rnacentral:RNase_MRP_RNA from 2 species
GCGCCGUGGGAUAGAGUGAUUGGGUCGAACCUUCAAUUUAGAAGUCAGACUCAGGAAAGUCCUCGGGCCAUCGCCGUAGAAAUACGGACUCGGUAACGAGAUCGGUUCGAUGAGCCUAUUGGGUGCUGAGACACGUGUGGAGCACCAAGCCCAAUGGGCCCGAACAACUAUGGCCAAAAUUGACAGUUAUUCACUCGGCCUUUAUAUAGGCUACAGAACGGGGCUUACUUCUCACGGCA